UACAGAGGGAGCAAGCGUUGUUCGGAAUUACUGGGCGUAAAGGGCGCGUAGGCGGUCUAUUAAGUCCCGUGUGAAAUCCCUCGGCUCAACUGAGGAACCGCACGGGAAACUGGCAGACUUGAGUUUGGGAGAGGGAAGCGGAAUUCCGGGUGUAGCGGUGAAAUGCGUAGAUAUCCGGAGGAACACCGGUGGCGAAGGCGGCUUCCUGGACCACGACUGACGCUGAGGCGCGAAAGCUAGGGGAGCAAACGGG
rnacentral:rRNA from 1 species